GACACACAUCCUGAACGUCAGUGCAGCACUCGGCACUAAUGACCGAGAUACGACUGACUCUGUUUUCGAGUAUGAAGGUCACAGGACAUGACUUCUUACUGUAUAGUGAUUUUGCAGUGGAUCGAUAAAGUGUUAUUAUCAUCAAUCAUGCCCAAUUAAAUGAUUACCUUCUUAUUUUCUGUAAUUGUGUGUUAGAAUGUGGUGAUUUAUUUCUUGAAUUUUCGGCCAAGCGCAUUUGAUUUCUGGGACAACCAUAGAACUCGUUUACAUCCCGAACAAAAGUUACAACGCACUUCGUUUGAAGAAAAAUGAAGACUUUAAUACUUUUGAUGUUCCUUGGUCUCAUUGCAAUCACGUGCGCCAAGUCGACAGGAUCAAGCAACGUUCAUUCCAUAUUCAAACGCGGAGAGUGCAACGCCCUCGGAGAAGCAUGUCCCUGGACCUUCUGGGAUAGGUGCUGCAAUGAACUGCAGUGUCACAAGAUUCACAUGACGGAGGCGGGGACCUGCCAAAUCUGCAAAUUCAUCGACAGCUACUGCAGCAAGGACAGUCAGUGCUGCCCGGGACUCCAGUGCAAUUGGCUCGGGAAAUGCGUCCGGGACACUUAGAAUGGACACGGUCGCGCGCGAGAUAAUACUUAUAUGAUAGGACCUACAAACAACAAUCACACCAUUUUGACUGUGACCCCUUUGAGAAAUGCUAAGCCCUCUUUUUCGAGUUCGUAACAAACAUGAAUUUGAAUUGAUAACAACUUUUCACUUCAAAUACAAUCAUUAAUACAAUCACUUCUCCGUCUGAAUUCUUUCGUCAGUGCCGGCGACACGUUGGUUGUUCCCAGUAUUUCAUGUUUCAAUAGCUAGCAUGUACUUUGAAAUAGAAGCGUCACCUUUUGGUCACUUCCUAACAUUAAUCUCACCCCGGUGUAACAUCUGUGGUUGUUUCCCAUGUGUCAGUGUUUCCAAACAAUAGGCAGCUAGAGAGACCACGACUUUUCAAUAGGGGGGAUACACAGAAAAACUUGUCAAUCUAUUUUUGAGCGUUCCCAAACAAUGAGGGGAAACACUCAAAAACAGAAACACUCAAAAACAUUACACCGGGCCUCGCUCCUGCCUAUAGUCCUAACUAUUGAACAUUGAACCCAACGUUGGCCGGGCUUUGAACUGGACGAGAAGAGGCCAAUUCAAGAACAGUACCAGCAACAUUUGAUACACUUUUUAGUCGUCUGGGAAAUAAACGAUCAAAAUAAUCAUGGCACAAUUAUUGUAGUUAUCGUCAUGGUAUUUAUGCUCUGUGAUUUGCAUACCAGUCGCAUUCGAUUUUUUGAGCCAGCUCACAGAACUCACCCGCCAACAUUUUCAAGCAGCGCAUUCGUCGAGACAGGAAUCAAGACAAGAUGAAAACUUUAAUUGCUUUGACGUUCCUUGGCCUCGUCGCAUUGACAACUGCCAAGUCCACUGGUAGCAACAGCUUCCGUUCCCUGUUCGAGACCAAGCGAGACAACGACUACGUUUGCAAGGGAGAAGGCAGACCUUUCGGCGCUGAGUGCUCAUGGGUCCCUUGGGACAGAUGCUGCGAUCACCUCCUGUGCAGCAAGACGCACUUGAACAGCAAGGGGGAGUGCGCCUUCUGUAAGGCUCUCGACAGCUUGUGCAGCUGGGACAGCGAGUGCUGCAGCGGCGAGUGCAACUGGAAGAGGAGGUGCAUCGAGGCUUAAGGGAAUUGCUUUAACGAAGACAAAGAGUUAAACAGGUCGCGGACCGGCGCUCAGCUUACGGUCUUUCAAGGAAAUACCUCCGUCAUCCUGGCGUGCAGCUCUCAGACUGUCUUCCAAAUGAAAUACCUGUCUAGUAGCGCUAAGCCUAGAUAGCAACAUGCACAGUUUUUAAUCUGAACGCCUGGCCGCAAACUGUUUAUAUAUUUGACUUUUUACAUUGUCCAUUUGUGAAAGUACAUGCACAGCAACUUGGAGUGCUCAAUGCGUUGACCCCUUGAAAUGCCGCAAGGAGGCGUUGUCGUAUCUGGUGCAUUCUCAGCUGGACAACAGCUGUAUGUUUUCCAGAAUGAGCCGUCUUUAUCAAAUUGUCAAACAAACAGGCAUGACAUGUCCCAAGAUUUCCAAUGUACAUGUGUUCAAUCGAAUAAAAUCAGCUAGUUCUCCACCCUAA